AUGGCCUCCGCCGACCACCUCCGCGCCCUCGACCUCAAGGCGUUCGACGACACCAGGGCGGGCGUCAAGGGGCUCGCCGAUGCCGCCGUCACCGCCCUCCCGUCCAUCUUCCACCACCCGGCAGAGUCCCUCCCGGACGCCGCGCCCCAAACCCAUCGCUUCACCGUCCCGGUCAUCGACCUGUCCGCCGCGGUCACCACGCGAGCCGCGGUGGUCGCGCAGGUGAAGGAGGCCGCGGAGACGGUGGGAUUCUUCCAGGUGGUGGGCCACGGCGUGCCGGAGGCGGCCACGGCGGCGAUGCUCGCGGCGGCGCGCGGCUUCUUCGAGGAGCCCGUGGAUGCCAAGGCGCCGUUCUACACCCGCGACCUCGGCCGGCGCGUCCGGUACCAGAGCAACCUCAACCUGUUCAAGUCGCGGGCGGCCAACUGGCGCGACACGCUCUUCAUGGAGCUGCCGGCGGCGCCGGAGGAGAUCCCGGCGGCGUGCAGGAGCGCCGCGCCGGAGUAUGCGCGGCUGGUGCAGCAGGGGCUGGGCGCCACGCUGCUGGGGCUGCUGUCGGAGGCGCUGGGCCUCCGCCCCGGCCACCUGGAGGAGGAGCACGGGUGCCUGGACGGGAUCAGCCUCGCCUGCCACUACUACCCGGCCUGCCCGGAGCCGCAGCUCACCCUCGGCACCCCGCGGCACUCCGACGCCGACUUCCUCACCGUGCUCCUCCAGGACUCCGUCGGCGGCCUCCAGAUUCUCGUCGACCUCGAGGCCGAGGACGGCGGAGAACGGAAGCGGCCGGUGUGGGUGGACGUGCCGCCGGUGGCGGGGGCGCUGGUGGUGAACGUGGGCGACUUCCUGCAGAUCAUGUCCAACGGCAGGUUCAAGAGCGUGGAGCACCGCGUGGUGGCCAACGCCGUGGGGCCGCGGGUCUCGGUGGCGUGCUUCUUCCGGACGGACCGCACCGCCGCGUCGACGACGGUGAUAGAGCCGAUCGUCGUCACCGACGGUGACGGCGGACAGCGGUACAGCAGCACGACGGCGGAGGAGGUGGUCCAGCGGCACUACAAGGUCUCCUCUGCACUCCAGCAGCAGCACUUCAGGCUCUGA
rnacentral:rRNA from 1 species